GGGUUGGCCAAAAAGUUCGUUCGGGUUUUUCAUAACAUGGAAAAACCUGAAUGAACUUUUUGACAAGCCCA
rnacentral:miRNA from 1 species